rnacentral:lncRNA from 1 species
CUGUUGUUGUCAACCUCUUUGACUCUUCAGUGGUUAGAGAUAUCUUCUCAAUCAGUUUAUCAGAAUUUUUCAUCAGCUCCUUCUCCAUAGGUAUUUGAUCAUCUGGUUGGGCAGCCUCUUGUUGAGCACCAAAUUGGACUCUACGAUUUUCAUUCUUGGACAGAUUUUCAAAAGUAGUGAGAAUCUGAAAGAUCGUUGAGUGCCAACCGUUGUUGGAGGAUGACGACAUAUUAGACAUCUGUGCAUGAGCAGAGGGAAG